rnacentral:rRNA from 1 species
AGAGUUUGAUCCUGGCUCAGGACGAACGCUGGCGGCGUGCCUAACACAUGCAAGUCGAACGAGGAACAGGUGCUUGCACCUGUAUCCGAGUGGCGGACGGGUGAGUAACACGUGACCAAUCUGUCUCCGAGCGGGGGACAACCCGGGGAAACCUGGGCUAAUACCGCAUACAGCUCCGUGGUCGCAUGGCCGUGGAGUGAAAGCAGGCCUCUACAUGUAAGCUUGUGCUCGGAGGGGAGGUCGCGGCGUAUCAGCUAGUUGGUGGGGUAACGGCUCACCAAGGCGACGACGCGUAGCGGGUCUGAGAGGACGACCCGUCACAUUGGGACUGAGAUACGGCCCAGACUCCUACGGGAGGCAGCAGUGGGGAAUAUUGCGCAAUGGCCGAAAGGCUGACGCAGCGACGCCGCGUGUGGGACGAAGCCCUUCGGGGUGUAAACCACUGUCAGGAGGGAAGAACCGCGUUCACUCGAACAGGUGGGCGUCUGACGGUACCUCCAGAGGAAGCGCCGGCUAACUCCGUGCCAGCAGCCGCGGUAAGACGGAGGGCGCAAGGCGUUGUUCGGAAUUACUGGGGCGU